rnacentral:rRNA from 1 species
GCAAACACGAAAGUGGACGUAUACGGUGUGACGCCUGCCCGGUGCUGGAAGGUUAAUUGAUGGGGUCAGCCGCAAGGCGAAGCUCCUGAUCGAAGCCCCAGUAAACGGCGGCCGUAACUAUAACGGUCCUAAGGUAGCGAAAUUCCUUGUCGGGUAAGUUCCGACCUGCACGAAUGGCGUAAUGAUGGCCAGGCUGUCUCCACCCGAGACUCAGUGAAAUUGAACUCGCUGUGAAGAUGCAGUGUACCCGCGGCAAGACGGAAAGACCCCGUGAACCUUUACUAUAGCUUGACACUGAACAUUGAGCCUUGAUGUGUAGGAUAGGUGGGAGGCUUUGAAGUGUGGACGCCAGUCUGCAUGGAGCCAACCUUGAAAUACCACCCUUUAACGUUUGAUGUUCUAACCUAGGCCCAUAAACUGGGUCGGGGACCGUGUCUGGUGGGUAGUUUGACUGGGGCGGUCUCCUCCUAAAGAGUAACGGAGGAGCACGAAGGUUGGCUAAGCAUGGUCGGACAUCAUGCGGUUAGUGCAAAGGCAUAAGCCAGCUUGACUGCGAGAGUGACGGCUCGAGCAGGUACGAAAGUAGGUCUUAGUGAUCCGGUGGUUCUGAAUGGAAGGGCCAUCGCUCAACGGAUAAAAGGUACUCCGGGGAUAACAGGCUGAUACCGCCCAAGAGUUCAUAUCGACGGCGGUGUUUGGCACCUCGAUGUCGGCUCAUCACAUCCUGGGGCUGAAGUAGGUCCCAAGGGUAUGGCUGUUCGCCAUUUAAAGUGGUACGCGAGCUGGGUUUAGAACGUCGUGAGACAGUUCGGUCCCUAUCUGCCGUGGGCGUUGGAAGAUUGAGAGGGGUUGCUCCUAGUACGAGAGGACCGGAGUGAACGCACCACUGGUGUUCGGGUUGUCAUGCCAAUGGCAUUGCCCGGUAGCUAAGUGCGGAAGAGAUAACCGCUGAAAGCAUCUAAGCGGGAAACUUGCCUCGAGAUGAGUCUUCCCUGUCGCUUUAAG